UACGUAGGGUGCGAGCGUUGUCCGGAAUUAUUGGGCGUAAAGAGCUCGUAGGCGGUUUGUCGCGUCUGCUGUGAAAUCCCGAGGCUCAACCUCGGGCCUGCAGUGGGUACGGGCAGACUGGAGUGCGGUAGGGGAGAAUGGAACUCCUGGUGUAGCGGUGGAAUGCGCAGAUAUCAGGAAGAACACCGAUGGCGAAGGCAGUGCUCUGGGCCGUAACUGACGCUGAGGAGCGAAAGCGUGGGGAGCGAACAGG
rnacentral:rRNA from 1 species